CCUACGGGAGGCAGCAGUGAGGAAUAUUGGUCAAUGGGCGGGAGACUGAACCAGCCAAGCCGCGUGAGGGAGGAAGGUACAGAGGAUCGUAAACCUCUUUUAUCAGGGAACAAAGUCUGGGACGCGUCCCCUGUUGAGUGUACCUUAAGAAUAAGGAUCGGCUAACUCCGUGCCAGCAGCCGCGGUAAUACGGAGGAUGCGAGCGUUAUCCGGAUUUAUUGGGGUUAAAGGGUGCGUAGGCGGGCUUUUAAGUCAGCGGUCAAAGCCCGGGGCUCAACCCCGGGAUGGCCGUUGAAACUGGCAGUCUUGAGUUGGUGAGAGGCAGGCGGAAUGCGCGGUGUAGCGGUGAAAUGCAUAGAUAUCGCGCAGAACUCCGAUUGCGAAGGCAGCAUGCCGGAUCCAGACUGACGCUGAUGCACGAAAGCGUGGGUAUCGAACAGGAUUAGAUACCCCUGUAGUC
rnacentral:rRNA from 1 species